UCCUUGCUUUAUUUUUUUGUUUGUUAAAUGCACAUGAGUGGCAUGGUAAUGUCUUGCUUGCCUUUAGUCGCAGACUUCACAUUUGCCUUCCUACAAACACAGGUGUCUACGUUAGAACUCCUUGAUUCCAGGACCCAUCGGUUUUUGUUGUCCGACCGCAGAAGUCUUCAUAGGAUUAUGAAACGCGUCGGACGGGUGUUAAUUUCACGCAUCUUUUCACGUCGGCCAAGUAGUUGCUUCAGGCUGCAGUUUUAGGGUUAAAUUUCCUCUUUGUGUCCAGUUUGAGAACAAACGCUGGUGAAUACCUCCUAGCCAAUCCUCUUUCACCACCUGUUUCAGCCUGUUUUCCUGCAGCAGGCUCUUAAGAGACACGGACCCCCCUGGUGAUUCUUCGUCUCUUAUGUUAUUGUAGUUAUGUACAUAAAAAGAGCUGUAGUGGGAAACCGAUCGUGUUACUUUAUUGCUUCAUGAUGGUCUUUAUCAUGUCGUUUUCUUUCAAGCAGGAAGGGAACAUUAAUCUUUUUUUUCUUCCCUAAUAUUUCUUUAUUCAUGAUUUUACUGUCGUAGUUUUUUUAGUUUAGGGGAAAAAAAGAUGUACUUUGCGAGUUAAAUUAGUGAUUAUUGUGGAGGGAAAUAGUGAAGAGAGGCUUUGGGAAUAAAUAAAUGAUUAGGCUCAACAGAAAGUAGUUCAGUGUUUACUGGGAGUAUGAUUGUUGGCUUUCUCAUCAGAUGUUAGAGCAUAUAUGAAGGUGUUGUGAGCAGCCAGUUAGCUUAUGAUAGCAUAGACCAGAGAUUGGGUUCUGGUUCCUGUCAGCAUAGGACGCGAUCCACAGAGAAGCUCAGAUGUGUCAGUUUGUGCAGAGCGUUUCAGAAACUGCUUCUGUAAUAGUUUACAUACCUUUUUGAUUACAGCUUCAGACACACCUUAUCUGUUUGAGCUGCAGGGUUCCUCCUGAUGCUCGUUGCAUGGUUAAAACGCACCGCAGCUUCAACUCUAGCUUUGAUGAACCGUUCCAUCGCUGACAAGUUUUUGUGCAAUUAUCCUGAACAGACCAGAAGAAAUGAUGAAAAUCCUCAAAAGCUUGUGAAUUAUCAGGCACCUUGUUUGCUGCAUGCAUACAGCAGCGUUAUAGGUGGGGAUAUUCUUUUGUUUUUGGGUGGAGUAAAAUUAAGCCUGGGCUUGUUGACGGCGGAGCCUCAGAGGCGUUCCCAGGUUCUGGGCUCAUGCCGGUUUCUUUGUUUUAUCACAAAGAUGCGUAAUUACUGACGUACCAAAUGCUCCAACUCUUCUCACCUGCUCCUCUUCAGUUCUCGUCUUCUGACUGAGAACGGGCUGCACUGUGUACUGAAUCAAACUGCAGGACACAUCAAACACAACUCUCCUGUUGCUCCAGCAGACAUUUUCUCCACCAGAGUAUGGACCAAAGACAUCGACCGUCCCUGACAGCCCAGCCAUGUCUUUCCUCCUCUCACUGAAUGGCACACUUCUCAUUUACUACAAAUAAAACUGUUUGCAAUACCAA